rnacentral:ncRNA from 1 species
AUAUACGAUGGUCCUUGCGGAUGCUGACACAAUGUGAUUUAUACCCAGUGCUCUGCAUGUGAAAGUGAAGAAAUUCAACCAAGCGCGGGUAAACUAGUAUAGACAAGGGGAAUCCAACUUUUUAAUUAAUAUUAAACCUUGUCAAAAAUAAUAUGGACAAGGGGAAUCCAAUUGUUUAAUUAAAACAAAGCACCAUGAUUGUCUCUGCAGAUGCUGGCGCAAUGUGAUUUAUACCCAUUGCUCUGCAUGUGAAGGUGAAUAAAUUCAACCAAGCAUGGGUAAAGAAUGAGAGUAACUAUGACUCUCUUAAGAUACUCAUAUGCCUAGUCAUCUAAUUAGUGACAUGCAUGCAUGGAUUAAAAAGAUUCCCAUUAUCCCUAGCUACUCUCUA